rnacentral:rRNA from 1 species
AGCAGCCGCGGUAAUUCCAGCUCCAAUAGCGUAUAUUAAAGUUGUUGCAGUUAAAAAGCUCGUAGUUGAAUUUCGGGAUCAAUAUGCUGGUCGUGCCAUUGGUACGUACUAGUAUUAUUGGUUUCUUCCUUCUGAUGAAUCAUGAUGUCAUUAAGUUGAUGUCAUGGGGAAUCAGGACUGUUACUUUGAAAAAUUAGAGUGUUUAAAGCAGGCUCGCGCUUGAAUACAUUAGCAUGGAAUAAUGAAAUAGGACGUUUGAUUCUAUUUUGUUGGUUUCUAGAAUUGACGUAAUGAUUAAUAGGGAUAGUUGGGGGCAUUAGUAUUCAAUUGUCAGAGGUGAAAUUCUUGGAUUUAUUGAAGACUAACUACUGCGAAAGCAUUUGCCAAGGAUGUUUUCAUUAAUCAAGAACGAAAGUUAGGGGAUCGAAGACGAUCAGAUACCGUCGUAGUCUUAACCAUAAACUAUAGCCGACUAGGGAUCGGAUGAUGUUAAUUUUUAAUGUAC